ACGAUGGAUAGGGGUUCUGAGAGGAAGGUCCCCCACAUUGGAACUGAGACACGGUCCAAACUCCUACGGGAGGCAGCAGUGAGGAAUAUUGGUCAAUGGGCGAGAGCCUGAACCAGCCAAGUAGCGUGAAGGAUGAAGGUUCUAUGGAUUGUAAACUUCUUUUAUAAGGGAAUAAAGUGCUUUACGUGUAGAGUUUUGUAUGUACCUUAUGAAUAAGCAUCGGCUAACUCCGUGCCAGCAGCCGCGGUAAUACGGAGGAUGCGAGCGUUAUCCGGAUUUAUUGGGUUUAAAGGGAGCGUAGACGGGAUGUUAAGUCAGCUGUGAAAGUUUGGGGCUCAACCUUAAAAUUGCAGUUGAAACUGGCGUUCUUGAGUGCGGUAGAGGCAGGCGGAAUUCGUGGUGUAGCGGUGAAAUGCUUAGAUAUCACGAAGAACCCCGAUUGCGAAGGCAGCUUGCUGGAGCGUAACUGACGUUGAUGCUCGAAAGUGUGGGUAUCAAACAGGAUUAGAUACCCUGGUAGUCCACACGGUAAACGAUGGAUACUCGCUGUUGGCGAUAUACUGUCAGCGGCCAAGCGAAAGCAUUAAGUAUCCCACCUGGGGAGUACGCCGGCAACGGUGAAACUCAAAGGAAUUGACGGGGGCCCGCACAAGCGGAGGAACAUGUGGUUUAAUUCGAUGAUACGCGAGGAACCUUACCCGGGCUUAAAUUAUGCAUGAAUGAUCUGGAGACAGGUCAGCCGCAAGGCAUGUAUGAAGGUGCUGCAUGGUUGUCGUCAGCUCGUGCCGUGAGGUGUCGGCUUAAGUGCCAUAACGAGCGCAACCCUUUCUGCCAGUUACUAACAGGCAAUGCUGAGGACUCUGGCGGUACUGCCAUCGUAAGAUGUGAGGAAGGUGGGGAUGACGUCAAAUCAGCACGGCCCUUACGUCCGGGGCUACACACGUGUUACAAUGGGGGGUACAGAAGGCAGCUUACCGGCGACGGUUGGCCAAUCCCGAAAGCCCCUCUCAGUUCGGACUGGAGUCUGCAACCCGACUCCACGAAGCUGGAUUCGCUAGUAAUCGCGCAUCAGCCACGGCGCGGUGAAUACGUUCCCGGGCCUUGUACACACCGCCCGUCAAGCCAUGAAAGCCGGGAGUACCUGAAGUGCGUAACCGCAAGGAGCGCCCUAGGGUAACAC
rnacentral:rRNA from 1 species